rnacentral:rRNA from 1 species
CUACGGGGUGCAGCAGGCGAGAAAACUUUGCAAUGUGCGAAAGCACGACAAGGUUAAUCCGAGUGGUUUCUGCUAAAGGAACCUUUUGACAGUCCUAGAAACACUGUUGAAUAAGGGGUGGGCAAGUUCUGGUGUCAGCCGCCGCGGUAAAACCAGCACCUCAAGUGGUCAGGAUGAUUAUUGGGCCUAAAGCAUCCGUAGCCGGCUCUGUAAGUUUUCGGUUAAAUCUGUACGCUCAACGUACAGGCUGCCGGGAAUACUGCAGAGCUAGGGAGUGGGAGAGGUAGACGGUACUCGGUAGGAAGGGGUAAAAUCCUUUGAUCUAUUGAUGACCACCUGUGGCGAAGGCGGUCUACCAGAACACGUCCGACGGUGAGGGAUGAAAGCUGGGGGAGCAAACCGGAUUAGAUACCCUGGUAGUC